rnacentral:rRNA from 1 species
AGUGAAUAGAUACCCCGGUAGUCCUAGCCGUAAACUAUGGCCACUAGGUGUUGGGGGGGUUAAACCCGUUACCAGUGCCGCCGCUAAACGCAUUAAAGUGACCCGCCUGGGGAGGUACGGUCGCAAGACUGAAACUCAAAGGAAUUGACGGGGACCCGGCACAAACGGUGGAGCAUGUGGUUUAAUACGACGAUACGCGUGGAACCUUACCCAGGCUUGACAUGUACUAGAAAGCUCUAUGAAAGUAGAGCCCUCCUUUCCGGGACUGGUACACAGGUGUUGCAUGGCUGUCGUCAGCUCGUGUCGUGAGAUGUUGGGUUAACGUCCCGCAACGAGCGCAACCCUUAUCUUUAGUUGCUAAUUGCGUAGCAAUACGUAAUGCACUCUAAAGAGACCGCCGCUGAUAAAGCGGAGGAAGGUGGGGAUGACGUCAAGUCAGUACGGCCCUUA